AUCAAAGUGAAAAGUAAGUGGUGGCAAAAAAUAAAAAUAAAAACCCUUCUCCCCCGAUUUUCUUCCGCCCCCCGACGUUCGCCGGCCGUCUCCGGCACCGCCCUCCACUGGCGCGGCUCUGCUCCGGCAUCCUCCGUCGAAUUCCCAGCUUUGCUAUGCCCUUCCGGCCCCACCCGAGGCUCCGGCGGCAAUCCUAGGUCCCUUGGGUCCCCGUCCCGGCGACGCGUCUCUGCCUCUUCGUGACAAGCCAACAAGGAAGGGAGCAAACCAGGAAAGCAGAUCGGCGACGGCGAGCGCAGUUGCUGGAAAAUCAUCGACAACCACUAUUGAUUACGCCGCCGCCGCUAGUAUGGGAGCGUCGCAGCCCAACAAAGAAGAUGAGGGGAAGACUAUGACUGUGGACAAGGAGAUGAAGAAGAUUUUCCGGGUGCCGCAGGACAGGCUGGAUUAUUACCUUUCCUUCAAAGCGAGCCCUGUUGGGCAGAGUCAGGCUCUACGGGAUCCUUCGGCCGCCGCCGAGUUGGACAAAAUCAUUGUACAAAUCCAGGCCGAGCAGGAGAAGAUGAGACGAGAGUACGAGGCCAAGGGCUACGCCACAUUUGAAGCAGAUGUCGCCGGCGACGAGGAAGAGGAAGAUGCAGCAGCAGGCGCAAUAGCUCCUUGUAUUAUUCAGCAAGGAGAGGAGAAAGAGGAAGAUACAACAUCUCCUUGUAUUACUCCGCAAGGAGACCAGGAUCUAGCAGCUCCUUGGUUUAUUCCACAUAGGGGCCGAAGAAGGUUUCGCCCAGGGGUCGUCAAGCAAGCAGGAGGCGUUAAGAAAGUAAUAAUUUAGAUUAAACUUUUCAAGCAAGCAGCUUGCUGCUUGGGAGCAGUAUUCAUUGCUCAACUGUAUUGUAAUGUUCGUACUAUUUCAUAAAAGGCAGCGUAUCAGGUGCAAACUCAAUUUCGAUGCUAGUCUGAAAACUUCAUUGGGUGU